rnacentral:lncRNA from 1 species
CUCAACUUAAACGACUGCCGGAAAGCAACCAUAUCCCUGGGAUUUGGGGCUAGGGGUUAGUGUUGACGUUAAGAGCAAAACGCCUUGUUGAUAGGGUGUCCGUCCCACCACCAGAUCCAACGGAGAUUUCAAGAUCCGCAGCCCCUAACUACGUGGGGCUGAGCUGUAUUGUCCCCAGGCGGCGCUGUGUGCAAAUCGUAUUGAAGGAGAGGAUUUUAGUGCUGAAAUUCUCCGAGACUACUUAAUUUUAAAUAUAUUGAUUUGCCCCGCAGGAGCGAUGGCUCUCGGUGUAACGGAGCUCUUAAGUGAAGAUGCUGAGAGGAAAAGGAAGAGUGCAAAACAUAGGGGAGAAUGUUUGCUGGAAAACGACAUGGUUAAAACCUAA